UUCGCCAGGGAACAACGAGCCCCAGCUUAGAACCCAAAGGACUUGGCGGUGCUUUAGACCCCCCUAGAGGAGCCUGUUCUAGAACCGAUACUCCCCGUUCAACCUCACCCUCUUUUGUUUUCCCCGCCUAUAUACCGCCGUCGUCAGCUUACCCUGUGAAGGCCUCAUAGUUAGCAAAGUUGGUAUAACCUAAAACGUCAGGUCGAGGUGUAGCGGAUGAGAGGGGAAGAAAUGGGCUACAUUUACUGACCCAGUAAACACGAAUAUUGCACUGAAAUAAGCAUUUGAAGGAGGAUUUAGCAGUAAGGGGCGAACAGAGAGCCCCCCUGAAAACGGCCCUUAAGCGCGCACACACCGCCCGUCACUCUCCCCAAUUAGAUACAACAAAUAAUUAAUACAAAAUAAUUAAACAAGGGGAGGCAAGUCGUAACAUGGUAAGUGUACCGGAAGGUGCACUUGGAAAAAC
rnacentral:rRNA from 1 species